AAAACAAAGAGUUUGAUCAUGGCUCAGAUUGAACGCUGGCGGCAGGCCUAACACAUGCAAGUCGAACGGUAGCACAGAGAGCUUGCUCUCGGGUGACGAGUGGCGGACGGGUGAGUAAUGUCUGGGAAACUGCCUGAUGGAGGGGGAUAACUACUGGAAACGGUAGCUAAUACCGCAUAACGUCGCAAGACCAAAGAGGGGGACCUUCGGGCCUCUUGCCAUCAGAUGUGCCCAGAUGGGAUUAGCUAGUAGGUGGGGUAACGGCUCACCUAGGCGACGAUCCCUAGCUGGGUCUGAGAGGGAUGACCAGCCACACUGGAACUGAGACACGGUCCAGACUCCUACGGGAGCAGCAGUGGGAAU
rnacentral:rRNA from 1 species